AUUUAAAUAAUUUAAAAAAAAUAUUGAUUUGUGGAGUCAAAAAUAUGAGUAAUUCAUUUUAAAUU
rnacentral:tRNA from 1 species